CUCUGGGUAGCUCAGUUGGAAGAGCGUCAGACUGUAAUGGGUAUUUCAUCUGAAUGUUACUGGUUCGAUCCCGGUUCCGGAGA
rfam:Sphaerobolus stellatus SS14 unplaced genomic scaffold SPHSTscaffold_7, whole genome shotgun sequence.